CUGAUGAUUAAGACGUUAGAAACUUUUCAUAUAUCUGUUGGACAUCUGUAUGCCCUCUUUGGACAAGUGUAUAUUAAGGUCAUUUGCCCACUUUGUAAUUGGGUUGUUGGACUUCCAGG